rnacentral:tRNA from 1 species
GUCUGGGUGGCUCAGUUGGUUAAGUGUCUAACUUCAGCUCAGGUCAUGAUCUCAUGGUUAGUGGGUUCGAGCCCCACCUCAGGCU